rnacentral:rRNA from 1 species
AUGGCUUUGGCAUCGCCGUUUAGCCCAUGUCAAUAUGAGAUCUUUGCAAAGUCUUCUCAAGGGGGCCAUGUCCAUGGACUAACAAAUGUUAGUUUUGCCAAAGAUCAUGCAUGCAGUGCUUGUAUCGAAGGAAAGCUUCAUGAUAAGGCUCACCCUCCCACGACUAUCAUCUAUUCGAAGAGGCCCUUGGAGCUCCUUCACUUGGAUCUCUUUGGACCUCCAUCCAUUGAUAGUCUUGGGGGUAUAAAGUAUUGCUUGGUGACUGUGGAUGACUAUUCAAGAUACACUUGGGUAUAUUUCUUCAAGAGAAAGAGUGAGACCCAAAAAACCGUCAUUGACUUUGCAAAUGAAGCUCAACAUCAACACAAUGCAAAGAUCUUGACGAUAAGAAGUGACAACGGCACCGAGUUCAAGAACUACACCUUGGAUGAUGUAACAUCCCAAAUUUUCAAUUUGGAACGUUAUACAUUAGAUCAUCAUGCAUAUCAUAUUUUAUUUGCUUUGGGUUUUGAUCCUAGAAAAUUCUAA